CAUUUGUUGUUUCGAGGUGUUCGGCUGUCGGAGCAGCUUUUUCCGCUUUUUUCAAGCUUCUACUGGACCUUGACAAUAUAUUGUGUGCGCAUAUCUCUUUGCUUGAAUUAAAGAUCUAAACAUGUCAGGAAGAGACGGUGGAAAGAAGAAGCCUUUGAAAGCUCCAAAGAAGCAAAAGGAUGAUAUGGAUGAGGAGGACGUUGCCUUCAAGCAGAAGCAGAGGGAAGCACAAAAAGCUCUCCAGGCAGCGAAAGAAGCUGCUGGUGGCAAGAAAGGACCGUUACUCGGCGGUGGUAUCAAGAAGUCGGGAAAGAAGUGACACAGUGGAGAAAACUCCAUAUUAUUUUUAUAAUUUAACUCAUGGACUAUGUGUUCCUUAAGAAGAAAUGGUUCUUUUGUUUGAAUUAUUUUAUGAUGCAAACCUGAUUUUUUGCAACCUUAUCAUUUGUCAUAAAAAGAAUUUUUGCUUCAGCAUUUCCAUGGAUAUACAUGUAUUAAAAUGGUACAUUAAUGAUCUUCUGUCGUAUUUCUUGAGUUUAAAUAGUGUUGUCAAGAUCUGUGCAAUUGGUUUGGUCUUGAGGGGACAUAUGCCUGUUGGUUUGAAAUAAUCAAAUGGGUAUUGAAUUAUCUCCUUUGCUUUUACAUUUUUAAUAAAUUGUUUGUGCAUCUUAAUAAAAAUCAUGCAAAAUUUAAAAUAAAAGUUGAAUUUUGUUAACAUA